UACGGGGGGGGCAAGCGGUUGUUCGGAAUUACUGGGCGUAAAGGGCUCGUAGGUGGCCAACUAAGUCAUACGUGAAAUCCCUCGGCUUAACCGGGGAACUGCGGUCUGAUACUGGAUGGCUUGAGGUUGGGAGAGGGAUGCGGAAUUCCAGGUGUAGCGGUGAAAUGCGCAGAUAUCAGGAGGAACACCGAUGGCGAAGGCAGCUCGCUGG
rnacentral:rRNA from 1 species